rnacentral:lncRNA from 1 species
CCCUAUCAUCCUUUUGACUGAAUGUAGAUGGACAGAAAACACAUUCCCAGUGCUCUGACAUCCGUGGUGUUGUUUUUGUUUUUGCCAUACUAAAAUUACCUACAAAAUAAUAGAAAGAUUUAAAAAUUACAAAAUGUACAAACUUAUUUGACAACAUAAUCAUUCAUCCAAACUGGUUUUCGCCUUGUACGACGCCCUUCAACAC